rnacentral:rRNA from 1 species
AUUCCAGCUCCAAUAGCGUAUAUUAAAGUUGUUGCGGUUAAAAAGCUCGUAGUUGGAUCUCAGAGAGGCGCACGCGGUUGGCCCACGCGGUCUUACUUCGUGCGUGUCUCACCGACCGCUGGUCGCGAGUGCUCUUAAUUGAGUGCUCGUCGACUGCGGCCACGUUUACUUUGAAAAAAUUAGAGUGUUCAAAGCAGGCGUCUUUCGCCCGCAUACCCCAGCAUGGAAUAAUGGAAUAGGAGGCUGGUUCUAUUUUGUUGGUUUUCGGAAUCUAGCCUAAUGGUUAAGAGGGACGGCCGGGGGCAUUCGUAUUGUGGCGUUAGAGGUGAAAUUCUUAGAUCGCCGCAAGACGAACAAGUGCGAAAGCAUUUGCCAAGAAUGUUUUCAUCG